CAGUGGCGAAGUCUUGGAUGCGACGGAAAAACCUUUGUUUGUCUGCGUUAUUCCUCCACCAUUGGUAGAAAUUAUAUGUGUGUGGCCGCUUCUUACCAUAUUCCACCUCAAAAUAUAGACUAGUAGCUUGGAACUGAAAGUCUUUAGUCAUGCAUUCACAAGUAGAUUUCACUAUUACCAGUUCAUAGCUAAUUGGAUUGGUGCAUGUUGUUGUUGUUCCAGUAGUUUUGAACAUUUUUGAGAUAAUAUUGGAUUUGUCACUUCACUUUGAAAGUCGUUUUGUUGGCUUUCAUAGGCCUUUGGUUUGGGAUAUCUGAUUGAAUCAAAGAAUAGGUGUUGUUAAGGAAAAACCAACCGAUGAUCUCGCUCCUCUCUCUCUCUAAUCUCGAACAGAAAGAAACUGAGCAUGAUGGUACUGAGGAUGAGUUGGUGGAAAUUAGUGUUGCUCAAGGUGUGAUUUCGGGGAAGGAUGCUUUUGAGAGAGUCAAGCUUAUUGGUGAUGACAAGGCUAAAGAGUUGAAUAAUUGCUUUGUGUAUUAAGGAGCAGCCAGAUGCUUGAGCUACUUGCUUAUACCAUGAAACCUGAAUUUUGAGGAUUAUUUCAUGGUUUGUUUUAGUCUGUUGACAACUUUGAUUUUGAUGUGUAGUUUAUGUUGGUAUUGGUGGAACCUUAAUGUGUUGGUUCAUCUUUAUGAAUGUGAAAGAUUUUAUGGAAGAAGAAGAUAACAUUAUAAGUUGUUGCAAAAGUUCUUUUCAAGUUCAUAUAGUUUCUUUA